ACGACCCAAUUUAGGAUCAUGACCGGCACUUAGGAGCAAGUGCCCCCAAGUAAGCCUCAUUGGUAUUUUACAGAAAAUCGAACAUAGUUUUCCCUGUUUUAGGACUAUCCAAAAGUUUUCCUGCCUCAUAAACAAAUAACAACCAACCAAUAUUUACCUAAAUAAGUCACAAUCUUCAUCAACUAACCAAAAAUAAGUUUUCACCAACAUUACAAAACUUAUCAACAUAAUAAUACUAAACUCAUCUAAAAAAUAUUAAAAAAAUACAAUACUAGGAACUAAUCCAAUAUAACGAAUGAAUACCCAUAACACUAAUAAAAAUGACUAUGGAGCGACUCUAAGAGUUUAAAAGCAAAGACAACAAAUAAAUAAACUCUCCGCCCAUGCGAAUAAGUGCGGGGCUCACCAGGAACUAUUAACUCGUAUACUCUAAUUAGCGAAAUCCUCACACGCGUCAACUCCUAUCUCUGUAAAAAAAUAGCAGGGAGUGAGUCACUAGCUCAGUGAGUAAUAACACUUAACCACAACCGUUUUUUAUGGGGACAAGUCAGAAAACAUGCAUGUAUAAUAAUCAGAAAAUAUUAUGAAAUAAAUGCCCUUUUUCAGAAUCGGUAACAACAAUCAAUCUUGUCUGUUUUCAUGUAAGCAGGAAUCAAUUAACAAUUCAGUAAUAAACUCUGUAAACAUUGUCAUAUCAAUAUGUUUGGGAGGUUUCCAAGAAAGGAUCAUUUAAUCUGUAUCUCUGUGUGGACCCCUUUAUAAAAGGAGUCAAAUAUAACUGUAGGUCCCUACUCGAAGGAAAACGAUAACUGUAUACUAGUUCUACCUUCCCACUAGCGAGGGGUAUAACUGUAAUCGGUAAUCUGUAAAUACAAGGUGCACCAGGUCUAACGAACCGACCGUUAGCUAUGGGAUCCUUCAAAAUCUCCUCCCAUUUAUAUUUUUCUUUGUAAACAGUAAAUAUUCACAGGAAAGCAUUUUCAAAAUGGUACGGGGCAUUUCAAUUCUUAUCAAAUCAUGUAAUCCAAAUUUCGAUAACGGUAAUCAUAUCUCAAGUGAUAGUAAAAUAUGUCUAGUAAUAGUGAGAACCUUUUAAAUAACUGUAAACAUCUCAAGCAAACUAUUCAGUACCAUAUCAAGUAAAUGACUUGUCCCACAUGCAAUUUCAAACACUCGGUAACACAUUUUAUUUUUAAAAUAUAGUAUAAACCAUGCAGGUUAUGAAAACAUAAAUUACGGUAAGAUUACUACUCACAGUACUCGUGUCGAAAUACCAAACUCGUCAUCUCGAGCGAUCUGUACGACUUUAUUCAAUCAAUCUAUAAUCACGUCAACAUUGAACUCAUGUUAUUUUCUUUGCUUAGGCUAAUUCUUAGUUAAUUUAGAAUACCUAACCCUCGAGGUUUCAUAUUUGACUCUUAAUUUACCGAAUCAUAGUUACCUGUGCUAUGAGUAAUUUAAAUUAGUCCAAAAACGUCUUUAAAAAAGGCAUUUAUGUAGUUUAAUCCAUGUACUAUUCAAUUUCUUUAAUCAUGUGUAUAAGUUAAAACUUAAAUAAAAUUAUUGUCUAUAAUAUCUUUUUUUUUUGGUACUUAUAUUUUCAAUACCUGAUGGAAUCCCAUGAACAUAUAAAUCGGGAUUUAAAGAAAUCCUAGAAACUGAAGAAGAAUCAAAGAAAGAGAAAAAUUAACCUUUUUGUGUAGGAAUCAACAAUGAAGCUUGAUAAUCUUUCUUACUUCUUCCUUCUUGAAAUUUACUAAUAAAAGCUUCUCUUUUCUCAAGCAUUGCUGCCCGUGAAUUUCCCCUGCGUUAGAGUUCUUUUAUUAUCCAAAGCUUUUUUUCUUUUCUUUUGUUAUUUUCCUGCCGCGAGCCUUCGCCCCUUCCCUUAAUCCCUUUCUUUUUU
rnacentral:lncRNA from 1 species